AAAUUAGAAUUAGAUAAAUGGCGACCCGGGUAAAACACACACAGUUAGUCCACGUAUUCGUGCUUCUGCUGUCCGUGUGCGGCGUUUCCUUUGCUGAGAAAAGCGACGCAGAGCUCGUAACUCUGCAAAGCGCCGGGCUUGAGAUAACAUGCGGAGAAGUGGAAGUGACAAUAACCGUAAAGCGACAUUUUUUUGAGGAGAAACGUGUUCCGUUCAAACCUGAGAAUCUUCGACUUGGGGCGAACUCCACGCAGCAGAGGUCCUGCGAGGCCACGGGCCCGGUGUCGGACUCCCACAUGGUCCUCUCUGCGGGGCUACGGGAAUGUGGGACCGAGUCCAGCGUUCGCGGUGAGUGGCUUGUGUAUUCCAACCAGCUGGUCCUGCUCCGUGCUGUGGUUCCCACCUCUACAGGCAGCGUGGUAGUCAGAGGGGCGACCACUGUCGUCAUACCUGUCGAGUGCCAUUACAAGAGGAAGCAGACGGUGAAUGGGGACCCGCUGACCCCGACCUGGCUGCCCAUGACCUCCACCGCCAGCGCCUUUGGCCUCCUGCACUUCUCCCUUCGCACCAUGGCAGGUGGCUGCGCCGCUCAACGUGGUUCCUCUGUGUAUCAGCAUGGGGAAGCAGUGUUUUUGGAGGCCAGCGUGGAGGCCCCGCUGCACCCACCUCUCGCUCUGUUUGUCGACCACUGCGUCGCCACGUUGAAGCCGGACCCCCUCUCCCUGCCGAGCUACAAGUUUAUCAACAAGCACGGAUGUCUGAUGGACAGCAUAUUGCCGGGGUCUUCAUCUCAAUUCUUCCCAAGGAAGCAGGAGAACCGACUGUGCUUCAGCGUCCAGGCCUUCCGCUUCAACCCAGAGUCUCUGGAGCAGAUGUACAUCAGCUGCCAGCUGAGGGCCACUGUGAAACCAAACUCUCCCAGCCAACUCAAUAAAGCCUGCUCCUUCCACAGACCCACAUUCAGCUGGAGAGCCACAGAGGGAGACGAUGCUCUGUGCGGAUGCUGUGACUCUGAUGACUGCUUUGGAAAGACCGGAGAGGAGAACAGUAGACACACAACUCAACGAGAUACAGAAAAGAAGAAGUAUGAGGCGGACUCAACUGUUGGGCCACUUCACACUCUGCCACGCUCCCAUUGGAAAGGCCGUCUGUCUGUCAGUCACCAUCCCGCCUUUUUCCAACUCUACAAUUAGUGAUUCCAACUGCAACAUCCAGCCGCAGAUGGUCUCUGUGAGCAUGUAGUACAACACUUCCGUGCGGCGUGCCGGCACAGUGCUGUUCCUGUUGUGACUGAGGAGGCUCCUGAAUAAAGAAAAAAAGAAGUGGAAUGUUGUGCAAUGGCCAAGUCAACCACCUGACCUGAAUCUAAUGGAGCUGCAUUUCACUUGCUGAAGACCAAAUUGAAGGGAAAAUGCCCCAAGAAGCAGCAGGAAGUGAAGACAGUGGCAGUAGAGGCCUGGCAGAGCGUCACCAGGGAUGAAACCCAGCGUCUGGUGAUCACUGAUGUCUCUAGGAUCUCUGACUUCAGGCUGUCAUUGACUGCAAAGGACUUGCAACCAAGUAUUAAAACUGACAAUUGCAAUGAU